rnacentral:ncRNA from 2 species
GUCCGUUCAUCCCUUUGGGACGCAUGCUACCUGAGUCAUGGAACGGGGACUCAGG